rnacentral:rRNA from 1 species
GACGAACGCUGGCGGCGUGCCUAACACAUGCAAGUCGAACGGAAAGGCCCCUUCGGGGGUACUCGAGUGGCGACCAGGUGCGUAACACGUGAGUAACCUGCCCUUGACUUCGGGAUAACUUCAGGAAACUGGGGCUAAUACUGGAUAGGAAUCCUUGCUGCAAGGGGGGGGUUGGAAAGCUUCGGCGGUUUUUGCUGUACUCUCGGCUUAUCAGCUUGUUGCUGGGGUAGUGUCUUACCAAGCCUUUGACGUGAAGCCGGCCUGAGAGGGCGACCGGCGACAUUGAGACUGAGGUACGGCACAGACUCCUACGGGAGGCAGAAGUGCGAAAUAUUGCACGAGGGGCGGAAGCCUGAUGCAGAAACGCCGCGUGUGGGAUGACGGUCUUAGUGUUGAAGACCGCAUUCAGCAGUGGCGAUGCUUGUGGUGACGGUACCUGCAGAAGAAGCACCGGCUAACUACGUG